rnacentral:rRNA from 1 species
UACGAAGGGGGCUAGCGUUGCUCGGAAUCACUGGGCGUAAAGCGCACGUAGGCGGUUCUUUAAGUCAGGGGUGAAAUCCUGGAGCUCAACUCCAGAACUGCCUUUGAUACUGAGGAUCUUGAGUCCGGGAGAGGUGAGUGGAACUCCGAGUGUAGAGGUGAAAUUCGUAGAUAUUCGGAAGAACACCAGUGGCGAAGGCGGCUCACUGGCCCGGUACUGACGCUGAGGCACGAAAGCGUGGGGAGCAAACAGG